AUCUAUAGAUGUACCACUCUGAAUGCACCUGAUCUUGGAAGCUAAGCAGAAUCAAGCCUGGUUAGUAGUUGGAUGGGAAAGUGCAUAGAAACUGGAGACA
rnacentral:rRNA from 1 species